rnacentral:sRNA from 1 species
UCUCAUUCCCCUCUAGGCCCGCGUGAGC